rnacentral:rRNA from 1 species
AUUGAACGCUGGCGGCAUGCCUUACACAUGCAAGUCGAACGGCAGCGCGGGGCAACCUGGCGGCGAGUGGCGAACGGGUGAGUAAUAUAUCGGAACAUACCCUAGAGUGGGGGAUAACGUAGCGAAAGUUACGCUAAUACCGCAUACGCACUAAGGUGGAAAGUGGGGGAUCUUCGGACCUCAUGCUCAUGGAGUGGCCGAUAUCUGAUUAGCUAGUUGGUGAGGUAAAGGCUCACCAAGGCGACGAUCAGUAGCUGGUUUGAGAGAACGACCAGCCACACUGGAACUGAGACACGGCCCAGACUCCUACGGGAGGCAGCAGUGGGGAAUAUUGGACAAUGGGCGAAAGCCUGAUCCAGCAAUGCCGCGUGAGUGAUGAAGGCCUUAGGGUUGUAAAGCUCUUUUACCCGGGAUGAUAAUGACAGUACCGGGAGAAUAAGCCCCGGCUAACUCCGUGCCAGCAGCCGCGGUAAU